UACGGGGGGGGCAAGCGUUGUUCGGAAUUACUGGGCGUAAAGGGCGCGUAGGCGGCCCGUUAAGUCGAACGUGAAAUCCCCGGGCUCAACCCGGGAACUGCGUCCGAUACUGGCAGGCUUGAAUCCGGGAGAGGGAUGUGGAAUUCCCGGUGUAGAGGUGAAAUUCGUAGAUAUCGGGAGGAACACCGGUGGCGAAGGCGGCGACCUGGGUAGAUACUGACGCUGAGGUGCGAAAGCGUGGGGAGCAAACAAG
rnacentral:rRNA from 1 species